rnacentral:rRNA from 1 species
AGUGAUUAAACUGAAGAGUUUGAUCCUGGCUCAGAUUGAACGCUGGCGGCAUGCCUUACACAUGCAAGUCGAGCGGCAGCGCGGGGGCAACCCUGGCGGCGAGCGGCGAACGGGUGAGUAAUACAUCGGAACGUGCCCAGUAGCGGGGGAUAACCAGUCGAAAGAUUGGCUAAUACCGCAUACGAUCUACGGAUGAAAGCGGGGGACCGCAAGGCCUCGCACUAUUGGAGCGGCCGAUGUCGGAUUAGCUAGUUGGCGGGGUAAGAGCCCACCAAGGCGACGAUCCGUAGCUGGUCUGAGAGGAUGAUCAGCCACACUGGAACUGAGACACGGUCCAGACUCCUACGGGAGGCAGCAGUG